rnacentral:lncRNA from 1 species
UAGGGUAAGGUUUAAGGUUUUUGGCGUAAGGGUUAAAAUCACUGUCCAAAACCUUAGUAGGAACUCUUUUCCAACAUUUUUGGAGUUAAUUAGAGCAAAAAAAAGAAAAAAGAAAAAAAAAUAUUUGGGGUGUUCGGGCUUCCUGAAGGUAAUACCCGUGUAUUAGGUUAUGGUGCUAGGGUAAGGUUUAAGGUUUUUGGCGUUAGGGUUAAAAUCACUGUCCAAAACCUUUGUAGGAACUCUUUUCCAACCUUUUGGAGUUAGUUAGACCCAAAAAAAACGAAAAAUGAAAAAAAAAUGUUUGGGGUGUUUAGGCCUCCUGAAGGUAAUACCGGGGUAUUAGGUUAUGGGGCUAGGGUAAGGUUUAAGGUUUUUGGCGUUAGGGUUAAAAUCACUGUCAAAAACCUUUUUAGAAACAUGUUUCAGACCUUAUGGAGUUAGUUACACCAAAAAAAAAAUUGUAAAAUGAAAAAGAAAUAUUUGGGGUGUUCGGGCUUCCUUAAGGUAAUACCCGGGUAUUAGGUUAUGGGGCUAGGGUAAGGUUUAAGGUUUUUGGAGUUAGGGUUAAAAUCACUGUCCAAAACCUUUGUAGGAACUCUUUUCCAACCUUUUGGAGUUAGUUAGACCUAAAAAAAUGAAAAAUGAAAAAAAAAUAUUUGGGGUGUUCGGGCUUCCUGAAGGUAAUACCCGGGUAUUAGGUUAUGGGGCUAGGGUAAGGUUUAAGGUUUUUGGCGUUAGGGUUAAAAUCACUGUCCAAAACCUUUGUAGGAACUCCUUUCCAACCUUUUGGAGUUAGUUAAACCAAAAAAAAACGAAAAAUGAAAAAAAAAUGUUUGGGGUGUUCGGGCUUCCUGAAGGUAAUACCCGGGUAUUAGGUUAUGGGGCUAGGUAAAGGUUUAAGUUUUUUGGCAUUAGGGUUAAAAUCACUGUCCAAAACCUUUUUAGGAACUCUUUUCCAACCUUUUGGAGUUAGUUAGACCAAAAAAAAAACGAAAAAUGAAAAAAAAAUGUUUGGGGUGUUCGGGCUUCCUGAAGGUAAUACCCGGGUAUUAGGUUAUGGGGCUAGGGUAAGGUUUAAGGUUUUUGGCGUUAGGGUUAAAAUCACUGUCCAAAACCUUUUUAGGAACUCUUUUCCAACCUUUUGGAGUUAGUUAGUUAGACCUAAAAAAAACGAAAAAUGAAAAAAAAAUGUUUGGGGUGUUCGGGCUUCCUGAAGGUAAUACCCAGGUAUUAGGUUAUGGGGCUAGGGUAAGGUUUAAGGUUUUUGGCGUUAGGGUUAAAAUCACUGUCCAAAACCUUUUUAGGAACUCUUUUCCAACCUUUUGGAGUUAGUUACACAAAAAAAAAAAUUUGUAAAAUUAAAAAGAAAUAUUUGAGGUGUUCGGGCUUCCUGAAGGUAAUACCCGGGUAUUAGGUUAUGGGGCUUUGGUAAGGUUUAAGGUUUUUGGCAUUAGGGUUAAAAUCCCUGUCCAAAACCUUUGUAGGAACAUGUUUCAGACCUUAUGGAGUUAGUUAGACCUAAAAAAAACGAAAAAUGAAAAAAAAAGUUUGGGGUGUUCGGGCUUCCUGAAGGUAAUACCCAGGUAUUAGGUUAUGGGGCUAGGGUAAGGUUUAAGGUUUUUGGCGUUAGGGUUAAAAUCACUGUCCAAAACCUUUUUAGGAACAUGUUUCAGACCUUUGGAGUUAGUUAGACCAAAAAAAAAAAAAAAAUAAAAAAAAAUGUUUGGGGUGUUCGGGCUUCCUGAAGGUAAUACCCAGGUAUUAGGUUAUGGGGCUUUGGUAAGGUUUAAGGUUUUUGGCAUUAGGGUUAAAAUAACUGUCCAAAACCUUUUUAGGAACUCUUUUCCAACCUUUUGGAGUUAGUUAGUUAGACCUAAAAAAAACGAAAAAUGAAAAAAAAAUAUUUGGGGUGUUCGCUUCCUGGGUAAUACCUGAAGGUAUUAGGUUAUGGGGCUUUGGUAAGGUUUAAGGUUUUUGGCGUUAGGGUUAAAAUCACUGUCCAAAACCUUUGUAGGAACUCUUUUCCAACCUUUUGGAGUUAGUUAGACCAAAAAAAAAAAAAAUGAAAAAAAAAUGUUUGGGGUGUUCGGGCUUCCUGAAGGUAAUACCCGGGUAUUAGGUUAUGGGGCUUUGGUAAGGUUUAAGGUUUUUGGCGUUAGGGUUAAACUCACUGUCCUAAACCUUUGUAGGAACUCUUUUCCAACCUUUUGGAGUUAGUUACACCAAAAAAAAAAUGAAAAAUGAAAAAAAAAAUAUUUGGGGUGUUCGGGCUUCCUGAAGGUAAUACCCGGGUAUUAGGUUAUGGGGCUAGGGUAAGGUUUAAGGUUUUUGACGUUAGGGUUAAAAUCACUGUCCAAAACCUUUGUAGGAACAUGUUUCAGACCUUUUGGAGUUAGUUAGACCAAAAAAAAAUGAAAAAUGAAAAAAAAAUAUUUGGGGUGUUCGGGCUUCCUGAAGGUAAUACCCGGGUAUUAGGUUAUGGGGCUAGGGAAAGGUUUAAUGUUUUUGGCGUUAGGGUUAAAAUCACUGUCCAAAACCUUUUUAGGAACAUGUUUAAGACCUUAUGGAGUUAGUUCCACCAAAAAAAAAAAAUGUAAAAUGAAAAAGAAAUAUUUGGGGUGUUAGGGCUUCCUGAAGGUAAUAUCCGGGUAUUAGGUAAUGGGGCUAGGGUAAGGUUUAAGGUUUUUGACGUUAGGGUUAAAAUCACUGUCCAAAUCCUUUGUAGGAACUCUUUUCCAACCUUUUGGAGUUAGUUAGACCAAAAAAAAAAAAAUGAAAAAUGAAAAAAAAAUAUUUGGGGUGUUCGGGCUUCCUGAAGGUAAUACCCGGGUAUUAGGUUAUGGGGCUAGGGAAAGGUUUAAUGUUUUUGGCGUUAGGGUUAAAAUCACUGUCCAAAACCUUUUUAGGAACAUGUUUCAGACCUUUUGGAGUUAGUUCACAAAAAAAAAAAUGUAAAAUGAAAAAAAAUAUUUGGGGUGUUCGGGCUUCCUGAAGGUAAUACCCGGGUAUUAGGUUAUGGGGCUUGGUAAGGUUUAAGGUUUUUUGUUAGGGUUAAAAUCACUGUCCAAAACCUUUGUAGGAAACUCUUUUCCAACCUUUUGGAGUUAGUUAGACCUUAAAAAAAAAAACGAAAAAUGAAAAAAAAAUGUUUGGGGUGUUCGGGCUUCCUGAAGGUAAUACCCGGGUAUUAGGUUAUGGGGCUAGGGUAAGGUUUAAGGUUUUUGACGUUAGGGUUAAAAUCACUGUCCAAAACCUUUGUAGGAACUCUUUUCCAACCUUUUGGAGUUAGUUAGACCCAAAAGAAAUGAAAAAUGAAAAAAAAUUUAUUUGGGGUUUUCGGGCUUCCUGAAGGUAAUACCCGGGUAUUAGGUUAUGGGGCUAGGGUAAGGUUUAAGGUUUUUGGUGUUAGGGUUAAAAUCACUGUCCAAAACCUUUGUAGGAACUCUUUCCCAACCUUUUGGAGUUGGUUCCACCAAAAAAAAAAAAUUGUAAAAUGAAAAAGAAAUAUUUGGGGUGUUCGGGCUUCCUGAAGGUAAUACCCGGGUAUUAGGUUAUGGGGCUAGGGAAAGGUUUAAGGUUUUUGGCAAUAGGGUUAAAAUCCCUGUCCAAAACCUUUGUAGGAACAUGUUUCAGACCUUUUGAGUUGGUUAUACCAAAAAAAAAAAAAUGUAAAAUGAAAAAAAAAGAAUUGGGGUGUUUUGGCCUCCUGAAGGUAAUACCCGUGUAUUAGGUUAUGGGGCUAGGGAAAGGUUUAAUGUUUUUGGCGUUAGGGUUAAAAUCACUGUCCAAAACCUUUUUAGGAACAUGUUUAAGACCUUAUGGAGUUAGUUACACCAAAAAAAAAAUUGUAAAAUGAAAAAGAAAUAUUUGGGGUGUUCGGGCUUCCUGAAGGUAAUAUCCGGGUAUUAGGUUAUGGGGCUUUGGUAAGGUUUAAGGUUUUUGGCAUGAGGGUUAAAAUCACUGUCCAAAACCUUUGUAGGAACUCUUUUCCAACCUUUUGGAGUUAGUUAGACCCAAAAGAAAUGAAAAAUGAAAAAAAAUAUAUUUGGGGUUUUCGGGCUUCCUGAAGGUAAUACCCGGGUAUUAGGUUAUGGGGCUAGGGUAAGGUUUAAGGUUUUUGGUGUUAGGGUUAAAAUCACUGUCCAAAACCUUUGUAGGAACUCUUUUCCAACCUUUUGGAGUUAGUUCCACCUAAAAAAAAAAAAAAUGUAAAAUGAAAAAGAAAUAUUUAGGGUGUUCGGGCAACCUGAAGGUAAUACCCGGGUAUUAGGUUAUGGGGCUUUGGUAAGGUUUAAGGUUUUUAUGCAUUAGGGUUAAAAUCACUGUCCAAAACCUUUGUAGGAACUCUUUUCCAAACUUUUGGAGUUAGUUAGACCUUAAAAAAAAACGAAAAAUGAAAAAAAAAUGUUUGGGGUGUUCGGGCUUCCUGAAGGUAAUACCCGGGUAUUAGGUUAUGGGGCUAGGGUAAGGUUUAAGGUUUUUGGCGUUAGGGUUAAAAUCACUGUCCAAAACCUUUGUAGGAACUCUUUUCCAACCUUUUGGAGUUAGUUAGACCCAAAAAAGAAAUGAAAAAGGAAAAAAAAUAUUUGGUGUGUUUGGUCUUCCUGAAGGUAAUACCCGGUUAUAAGGUAAUGGGGCUAGGGUCAGGUUGAAGGUUUUUGGCAUGAGGGUUAAAAUCCCUGUCCAAAACCUUUGUCGGAACUCUUUUCCAACCUUUUGGAGUUAGUUGGACCAAAAAGAAAACAAAAAAUGAAAAAAAAAAUAUUUGGGGUGUUCGGUCUUCCUGAAGGUAAUACCCGGGUAUUAGGUUAUGGGGCUAGGGAAAGGUUUAAUGUUUUUGGCGUUAGGGUUAAAAUCACUGUCCAAAACCUUUUUAGGAACAUUUUUCAGAUCUUAUGGAGUUAGUUACACCAAAAAAAAAAUUUUUGUAAAAUGAAAAAGAAAUAUUUGGGGUGUUCGGGCUUCCUGAAGGUAAUACCCGGGUAUUAGGUUAUGGGGCUUUGGUAAGGUUUAAGGUUUUUAUGCAUUAGGGUUAAAAUCGCUGUCCAAAACCUUUGUAGGAACUCUUUUCCAACCUUUUGGAGUUAGUUAGACCUAAAAAAAAAAACGAAAAAUGAAAAAAAAAAUGUUUGGGGUGUUCGGGCUUCCUGAAGGUAAUACCCGGGUAUUAGGUUAUGGGGCUAGGGUAAGGUUUAAGGUUUUUGGCGUUAGGGUUAAAAUCACUGUCCAAAACCUUUGUAGGAACUCUUUUCAAACCUUUUGGAAUUAGUUAGACCCAAAAUAAAUGAAAAAUGAAAAAAAAAUACAUGGGGUUUUCAAGCUUUCUGAAGGUAAUACCCGGGUAUUAGGUUAUGGGGCUUGGGUAAGGUUUAAGGUCUUUGGAGUUAGGGUUAAAAUCACUGUCCAAAACCUUUGUAGGAACUCUUUCCCAACCUUUUGGAGUUAGUUAGACCCAAAAGAAAUCAAAAAGGAAAAAAAAUAUUUGGGGUGUUUGGUCUUCCUGAAGGUAAUACCCGGGUAUUAGGUAAUGGGGCUAGGGUCAGGUUUAAGGUUUUUGGCAUUAGGGUUAAAAUCACUGUCCAAAACCUUUGUAGGAACUCUUUUCCAACCUUUUGGAGUUAGUUACACCAAAAAAAAAAAAAAUAAAAUGACAAAUAAAUAUUUAGGGUGUUCGGGACUCCUGACGGUAAUACCCGGGUAUUAGGUUAUUGGGCUUUGGUAAGGUUUAAGUUUUUUUGGCAUUAGGGUUAAAAUCACUGUCCAAAACCUUUGUAGGAACUCUUUUCCAACCUUUUGGAGUUAGUUAUACCUAAAAAAAAAACGAAAAAUGAAAAAAAAAUGUUUGGGGUGUUCGGCUUCCUGAAGGUAAUACCCGGGUAUUAGGUUAUGGGGCUAGGGUAAGGUUUAAGGUUUUUGGAGUUAGGGUUAAAAUCACUGUCCAAAACCUUUGUAGGAACUCUUUUCCAACCUUUUGGAGUUAGUUAGACCUAAAAGAAACGAAAAAUGAAAAAAAAAUGUUUGGGGUGUUCAGGCCUCCUGAAGGUAAUACCCGGGUAUUAGGUUAUGGGGCUAGGGUAAGGUUUAAGGUUUUUGGCGUUAGGGUUAAAAUCACUGUCAAAAACCUUUUUAGAAACAUGUUUCAGACCUUAUGGAGUUAGUUACACCAAAAAAAAAAAUUUAAAAUGAAAAAGAAAUAUUUGAGGUGUUCGGGCUUCCUUAAGGUAAUACCCGGGUAUUAGGUUAUGGGGCUAGGGAAAGGUUUAAGGUUUUUGGCAAUAGGGUUAAAAUCCCUGUCCAAAACCUUUGUAGGAACUCUUUUCCAACCUUUUGGAGUUAGUAAGACCAAAAAAAAAUGAAAAAUAAAAAAAAAGGUAUUUGGGGUUUACGGGCUUCCUGAAGGUAAUACCCGGGUAUUAGGUUAUGGGGCUUUGGUAAGGUUUAAGGUUUUUGGCAUUAGGGUUAAAAUCACUGUCCAAAACCUUUGUAGGAACAUGUUUCAGACCUUUUGAGUUGGUUACACCAAAAAAAAAAAAAAUGUAAAAUGAAAAAAAAAGAAUUGGGGUGUUCGGGCUUCCUUAAGGUAAUACCCGGGUAUUAGGUUAUGGGGCUAGGGUAAGGUUUAAGGUUUUUGGCAUUAGGGUUAAAAUUACUGUCAAAAACCUUUGUAGGAACUCUUUUCAAACCUUUUGGAAUUAGUUAGACCCAAAAGAAAUGAAAAAUGAAAAAAAAAUAUAUGGGGUUUUCAAGCUUCCUGAAGGUAAAACCCGGGUAUUAGGUUAUGGGGCUAGGGUAAGGUUUAAGGUUUUUGGAGUUAGGGUUAAAAUCACUGUCCAAAACCUUUGUAGGAACUCUUUUCCAACCUUUUGGAGUUAGUUAGACCCAAAAGAAAUGAAAAAUGAAAAAAAAAAUAUUUGGGGUAUUCGGGCAACCUGAAGGUAAUACCCGGGUAUUAGGUAAUGGGGCUAGGGUCAGGUUUAAGGUUUUUGGCAUGAGGGUUAAAAUCACUGUCCAAAACCUUUGUAGGAACUCUUUCCCAACCUUUUGGAGUUAGUUAGACCCAAAAGAAAUGAAAAAUGAAAAAAAAUAUAUUUGGGGUUUCCGGGCUUACUGAAGGUAAUACCCGGGUAUUAGGUUAUGGGGCUAGGGUAAGGUUUAAGGUUUUUGGUGUUAGGGUUAAAAUCACUGUCCAAAACCUUUGUAGGAACUCUUUUCCAACCUUUUGGAGUUAGUUCCACCAAAAAAAAAAAAAAUGUAAAAUGAAAAGAAAUAUUUGGGGUGUUCGGGCUUCCUGAAGGUAAUACCCGGGUAUUAGGUUAUGGGGCUAGGGUAAGGUUUAAGGUUUUUGGCGUUAGGGUUAAAAUCACUGUCCAAAACCUUUGUAGGAACUCUUUUCAAACCUUUUGGAAUUAGUUAGAUCCAAAAGAAAUGAAAAAUGAAAAAAAAAUAUAUGGGGUUUUCAAGCUUCCUGAAGGUAAAACCCGGGUAUUAGGUUAUGGGGCUAGGGUAAGGUUUAAGGUUUUUUGAGUUAGGGUUAAACUCACUGUCCAAAACCUUUGUAGGAACUCUUUUCCAACCUUUUGGAGUUAGUUAGACCUUAAAAAAAAACGAAAAAUUAAAAAAAAAGUUUGGGGUGUUCGGGCUUCCUGAAGGUAAUACCCGGGUAUUAGGUUAUGGGGCUAGGGUAAGGUUUAAGGUUUUUGGCGUUAGGGUUAAAAUCACUGUCCAAAACCUUUGUAGGAACUCUUUUCCAACCUUUUGGAGUUAGUUAGACCCAAAAGAAAUGAAAAAGGAAAAAAAAUAUUUGGUGUGUUUGGUCUUCCUGAAGGUAAUACCCGGUUAUAAGGUAAUGGGGCUAGGGUCAGGUUGAAGGUUUUUGGCAUGAGGGUUAAAAUCCCUGUCCAAAACCUUUGUCGGAACUCUUUUCCAACCUUUUGGAGUUAGUUGGACCAAAAAAAAAAACAAAAAAUGAAAAAAAAAAUAUUUGGGGUGUUCGGUCUUCCUGAAGGUAAUACCCGGGUAUUAGGUUAUGGGGCUAGGGAAAGGUUUAAUGUUUUUGGCGUUAGGGUUAAAAUCACUGUCCAAAACCUUUUUAGGAACAUGUUUCAGAUCUUAUGGAGUUAGUUACACCAAAAAAAAAAUUUUUGUAAAAUGAAAAAGAAAUAUUUGGGGUGUUCGGGCUUCCUGAAGGUAAUACCCGGGUAUUAGGUUAUGGGGCUUUGGUAAGGUUUAAGGUUUUUAUGCAUUAGGGUUAAAAUCACUGUCCAAAACCUUUGUAGGAACUCUUUUCCAACCUUUUGGAGUUAGUUAGACCUAAAAAAAAAAACGAAAAAUGAAAAAAAAAUGUUUGGGGUGUUCGGGCUUCCUGAAGGUAAUACCCGGGUAUUAGGUUAUGGGGCUAGGGUAAGGUUUAAGGUUUUUGGCGUUAGGGUUAAAAUCACUGUCCAAAACCUUUGUUGGAACUCUUUUCCAACCUUUUGGAGUUAGUUUCACAAAAAAAAAAGUAAAAUGAAAAAGAAAUAUUUGGGGUGUUCGGGCUUCCUGACGGUAAUACCCGGGUAUUAGGUCAUGGGGCUUUGGAAAUGUUUAAGGUUUUUGGCGUUAGGGUCAAAAUCACUGUCCAAAACCUUUUUAGGAACUCUUUUCAUACCUUUUGGAGUUAGUUAGACCCAAAAGAAAUGAAAAAUGAAAAAAUAUAUAUUUGGGGUUUUCGGGCUUUCUGAAGGUAAUACCCGGGUAUUAGGUUAUGGGGCUAGGGUAAGGUUUAAGGUUUUUGGCAUUAGGGUUAAAAUCACUGUCCAAAACCUUUGUUGGAACUCUUUUCCAACCUUUUGGAGUUAGUUUCACAAAAAAAAAAAAGUAAAAUGAAAAAGAAAUAUUUGGGGUGUUCGGGCUUCCUGACGGUAAUACCCCGGUAUUAGGUUAUGGGGCUAGGGUAAGGUUUAAGGUUUUUGGCGUAAGGGUUAAAAUCACUGUCCAAAACCUUAGUAGGAACUCUUUUCCAACAUUUUGGAGUUAGUUAGAGCAAAAAAAAGAAAAAAGAAAAAAAAAUAUUUGGGGUUUUCGGGCUUCCUGAAGGUAAUAACCGGGUAUUAGGUUAUGGGGCUAGGGUAAGGUUUAAGGUUUUUGGAGUUAGGGUUAAAAUCACUGUCCACAAUCUUUGUAGGAAAGAGUUUCAGACCUUUUGGAGUUAGUUACAACAAAAAAGAUGUAAAAUGAAAAAAAUAUAUUUGGGGUGUUCGGGCUUCCUGAAGGUAAUGCCCGGGUAUUAGGUAAUGGAGCUUUGGAAAGGUUUAAGGUUUUUGGCGUUAGGGUUAAUAUCACUGUCCAAAACCU